GUCUUCGUGGUGUAGUGGUCAGCACGCUCGACGCGUAACCGAGAGGUCCAUGGUUCGAUUCCCGGCGAAGGCG
rnacentral:tRNA from 1 species